ensembl:snRNA U6 U6 spliceosomal RNA
GUGCUCACUUUGGUAGCACAUAUACUAAAAUUGGAAUGAUAUACACAAGAUUAGCAGGAUCCCUUGUGAGGAUGACACCCAAAUUUGUGAAGCGUCCCAUACUUUU